UACGUAGGGGGCUAGCGUUGUCCGGAAUUACUGGGCGUAAAGCGUGCGCAGGCGGCUUUGCAAGACAGAUGUGAAAUCCCCGGGCUCAACCUGGGAACUGCAUUUGUGACUGCAAGGCUAGAGUACGGUAGAGGGGGAUGGAAUUCCGCGUGUAGCAGUGAAAUGCGUAGAUAUGCGGAGGAACACCGAUGGCGAAGGCAAUCCCCUGGACCUGUACUGACGCUCAUGCACGAAAGCGUGGGGAGCAAACAGG
rnacentral:rRNA from 1 species